rnacentral:rRNA from 1 species
UACGUAGGGGGCUAGCGUUGUCCGGAAUCAUUGGGCGUAAAGAGCGUGUAGGCGGCCCGGUAAGUCCGCUGUGAAAGUCGGGGGCUCAACCCUCGAAUGCCGGUGGAUACUGUCGGGCUAGAGUGCGGAAGAGGCGAGUGGAAUUCCUGGUGUAGCGGUGAAAUGCGCAGAGUAUCAGGAGGAACACCAAUUGCGAAGGCAGCUCGCUGGGACGUAACUGACG